UGACUUUAUUGAGCCUUACCUUUCUCUUAUUUGAAAUAUGGAUAAUAUCAACAUUGAAAGAUUAUUACAAAACAGCAUAAUGUAGUUUUCAGGAAUCUCAGGUUUUCUUUAGAGAUAUUUGAGACUUAAACCUGACUAUAAAGGGAAUGAUUAAUACCCACUUUAGGUCUUACCUUUGCUGGGGUGAACUGAGGAGGAGUUAUGAAGGGAAGGAGUGCAUAGGUUGGUGUGAAGUUACUGGCGUUGUUUUCAUUAGGGGUUAAAUUAUGGUUUUCCAAUAUUUGUUCCAUUACAAAUAAGGAGCUGAUUGGAUGAAUGGAUUAAUUUACAAAUCAGGCCAUGCAUGACCCCUUAAUAAUAUGUCAUGAAGGAAGAAUGAUAAGUUGGGGGAGUAAAGAUAUUUUUAAAUUCUGCCUCUACCAUUUAUUAGUAAUAUAGUGAGAGCUCAGUAAAAGUUAAUACCCAGUGUUAUGCUGGAACCAGCACACAGAAGCCAAUUUUGCAUAUCUUUACCCAAUUCCUGUUUAGUGACAUUGCAACGAUAGCUUAAAUUUAGCUAUGGUGGGACUUUUUAUACCCCAGAAAUGUUGCAUUAAAGUGGGAAGGUGAAGGGGAGGGGGGUGGGUGGUAAUAUUUCAAAUCUGCAGUUGUUAAACUUUUAGCCACAACCAGUGGUGUAACUCCUAUUAUUAUUUAAAUAUUUAGUUUUAAUAAUCAGUAUUAUUGCAGAAUAUAUGAUUUUUGACUCCAGAUUUAAAUAUGCUUUUUAUUUCGUUAAGAACUUUUAUAUUUAAUGUUUUAGAGUAUUAAUAAAAAUUAAAUGCAAAGUUGUUUUAAAUACCUUAUUGGUGGGAGUUCCCACUGUGGCUUAGUGGUAACGAAUGCGACUAGUAUCCAUGAGGACUCAGGUUUGAUCCCUGGGCCCGCUCAGUGGGUUAAGGAUCCAGUGUUGCUGUGAACUGUGAUGUAGGUUGAAGAUGGCUCUGAUCUGGCAUUGCUGUGGCUGAGGCAUAGGCCAGCAGCUCUGAUUCGACUCCUAGCCUGGGAACUUCCUUUUGCCACAGGUGUGGCCUUAAAAUAAAUAAAUACCUCAUUGGCAUUUAUUGAUAUAUAGAUCAAUCGAUCUAUCUAUCUAACUAACUAUAUAAAAUCAUUCUUUUUCCAUUAUUUUACUAGCAUUUAAUGCCCAGGAUAACCUAUGUAUGUUGAAUAAUCAGUUUGAGGAUUUGUUUGUUUUUGUUUUUGUCUUUUUCGGGCUGCACCUGUGGCAUAUGGAGGUUCCCAGGCUGGGGGUCUAAUCGGAGAUGUAGCUGCCCGCCUACACCACAGCCACAGCAUUGCGGGAUCUGAGCCGCAUCUGUUAACCUACACCACGCUCAAGGCAACGCUGGAUCCUUAACCCCCUGAGCGAGGCCAGGGAUUGAGCAGCAACCUCAUGGUUCCUAGUCAGAUGUGUUAACCACUGAGCCACAAUAGGAGCUCCAGUUUGAGGGGUUUUUUUGCUGAGGUAUGCUAGUGCAAUUUGGGGGAGAGUUAAAUCCUCUGUAAUUAUAUUCCUGCCUCUGAGAUUGCACAGUAAUUUUUUUAUCUUAUUAUUGAAGGCUUUUGAGAUCAAAACUAUGUAUUACUUUUUAACUCCUUGAAUAAAAUGUAAUCCUUUCUGAAUUUUGGAAUGAUAUAAAACUUUGGAAAUUAACUCCAGUGAGUUCAUUCAGUGUGCCUUAAUUAUUCUGUGAUUUUUUUUAAAAAGAUGAUAAAAGAUUUUGCAUUAAUUAUUGGUAAUUUUGUCUUAUUUUGGCACUUUCUGUUUUUUAAUUAUUUUCAGUAGGAUUUUCAGUAUAUUUCUAUGUGUUAAUUAAAAUAAUCUUCAACAGUAACAAAAUUUGUAUUUAUUUUUGCCUCAUGUAAGUAAAUCCAUUUAAUAUGAAUUGAGUUAAUUAUUAGGUAUAAUCAAUAAAAAGAAUUACUUGACUAUUUUAGUUUAUUUCCCUCACCGAAUUUUUAUCAGUCUCCAACAAAGCUAUUCUUGAAGUAGAAUUUUCUUGUCCUUUUUUUCUCAUGCUUAAAUGAUCAGAUUUCAUUCUCUCCAUGUGGUUUUGUAAUUUCUGAACAAUCUGAAUAAUAUAAUGAAAAAAGAUGUGCUUUAUAUGCAAUGACUUUCUGUAACAAAUAAAUGGCUUGUGUGAUUUUAUUAUCUAAAAGUAAUUUAACUUACAUUCACCAAGUCAGUAAGUAAAUUGAUAAAUUUAUGGGAGAGAGCCAGCGUCCUAAGGAAUUAAACUUCCUUGCCAUUUAUUUAUUUACCUAAAAUAGGCUGGAAUGUUUAAAAAAAAAGAGAGAGAGAGAUUAUUCAGCUCUUAUCCCACCCUUCACCUGGCUGCCAGUAUCUUUUUUCAUGCUUAUUUUCUAGAAAUUUAAGUUAAGAGAUAGCCAUUGAUUUACCAAAUCCUCAGAUAACCAUAAGGUUUUUUUUUUUUUUGGAGGUAUUAGGUACAAAGGAUCCAGUCCAGUCUGAACAAAGGUAAUUAAUGGUGACAUCAACCAUGUGGCAGUUUUUCUAAGCUGUGCUUAAUAGUCUUGAGUGAUGGUGAGCUACUUCUAACUUAGAAAAAAAUAUAUCUCUUCAUGGGUUUGUGAUCUGGUGGUCCACUUCAGAGUAUGAUACUAUAGACUUGUUCCUUUCUCUCAGCAUUAGACUUUAUCGUUAAUUUCAGUUUUCAGAAUCAUAGAUUCUCAUUUUGGACCCAGGAUGAAAACUAGUAUAUUUCUCAAUAAACACUCUAAAACUUGCUGAGUCAUCCAAGUUUUAUAUACAUAUAUAGUUGUUUUUUUGAUGCAGUUGUAAUGGAGUUUUUUUUUGGCUUCUUAGGAGCCUACUAAAGAUUAAUAGUUCCUUGGUUUUCAGUUGCUCAUGGUUUUCCAGUAAAGUCUUAAUAAGCAUAGCAUGGCAAAGAAAAAAAAA
rnacentral:lncRNA from 1 species